rnacentral:rRNA from 1 species
GCACGACACCGGAGAGGGAGCCUGAGAAACGGCUACCACAUCCAAGGAAGGCAGCAGGCGCGCAAAUUACCCAAUCCCGACACGGGGAGGUAGUGACAAUAAAUAACAAUACAGGGUUCUUUUGGAUCUUGUAAUUGGAAUGAGUACAAUUUAAAUCUCUUAACGAGGAACAAUUGGAGGGCAAGUCUGGUGCCAGCAGCCGCGGUAAUUCCAGCUCCAAUAGCGUAUAUUAAAGUUGUUGCAGUUAAAAAGCUCGUAGUUGAAUUUCGGGAUCAAUAUUUCGGUCAUGCCGUUGGUAUGCACUGUUAUCAUUGAUUUCUCACCUUCUAAAGAACCGUAAUGCCAUUAAUUUGGUGUUACGGGGAAUUAGGACUGUUACCUUGAAAAAAUUAGAGUGUUUAAAGCAGGCUCACGCUUGAAUACAUUAGCAUGGAAUAAUGAAAUAGGACAUCCGAUUCUAUUUUGUUGGUUUCUAGGAUCGAUGUAAUGAUUAAUAGGGAUAGUUGGGGGCAUUAGUAUUCAAUUGUCAGAGGUGAAAUUCUUGGAUUUAUUGAAGACUAACUACUGCGAAAGCAUUUGCCAAGGAUGUUUUCAUUAAUCAAGAACGAAAGUUAGGGGAUCGAAGACGAUCAGAUACCGUCGUAGUCUUAACCAUAAACUAUGCCGACUAGGGAUCGGAUGAUGUUAAUUUUUUAAUGACUCAUUCGGCGCCUUACGGGAAC